CUUAUAUUUCAAUUUUGCAACUGUAGGGAUGUCAUUGAAGCUAGGGAUUCUGAAUACAAGGCAUGGGCUCAUGUUCAGACCUUGAAGUCCUCUCUUGAUGAGCAAACUCUGGAAUUGCAGGUUAAAAUAUCAAUUGGAGCUGAGGCCAUCUCUCAUGUUCAGUUAUUUUAUGGGAAAAGUUCGGGCUUCCAGAUAUCCUGAAAUCCAAACAUAAGGAAAAUGAAGCCUACAUAUCUGAAUUAGAGACUAUUGGUCAGGCAUAAGAUGAUAUGCAAGCUCAAAACCAGCAGCUCCUGCAGCAAAUUACAGAGAGAGAUAAUUAUAACGUCAAGGUUAUUAUUUGUACCACCAUUGCUCACUGUUUAUUCAAGUUCCCAAACUGGUUUUAGUUGCUUUCAUAUAGCAUGCAUUUGAGACCUCCUUGAUUUUGUAGGUGAUUAUUUAUUUGUUUAUAUAGAAGUUAGAGAUUUUAUAGAAGUUUGAUUAAAUCGACUAUUUGUUUA